rnacentral:rRNA from 1 species
GUAGGUGGCAAGCGUUGUCCGGAAUUAUUGGGCGUAAAGCGCGCGCAGGCGGUCCUUUAAGUCUGAUGUGAAAGCCCACGGCUGAACCGUGGAGGGUCAUUGGAAACUGGGGGACUUGAGUACAGAAGAGAAGAGUGGAAUUCCACGUGUAGCGGUGAAAUGCGUAGAGAUGUGGAGGAACACCAGUGGCGAAGGCGACUCUUUGGUCUGUAACUGACGCUGAGGCGCGAAAGCGUGGGGAGCAAACAGGAUUAGAAACCCUGGUAGUCCACGCUGUAAACGAUGAGUGCUAAGUGUUAGAGGGUUUCCGCCCUUUAGUGCUGCAGCUAACGCAUUAAGCACUCCGCCUGGGGAGUACGGCCGCAAGGCUG